rnacentral:rRNA from 1 species
UGGGGAAUCUUGGACAAUGGGCGCAAGCCUGAUCCAGCCAUGCCGCGUGAGUGAAGAAGGCCUUCGGGUUGUAAAGCUCUUUUGUCAGGGACGAUAAUGACGGUACCUGAAGAAUAAGCCCCGGCAAACUUCGUGCCAGCAGCCGCGGUAAUACGAAGGGGGCUAGCGUUGUUCGGAAUUACUGGGCGUAAAGCGCACGUAGGUUGAUUGUUAAGUCAGGGGUGAAAUCCCAGAGCUCAACUCUGGAACUGCCCUUGAUACUGGCAAUCUCGAGUCCGGAAGAGGUUAGUGGAAUUCCCAGUGUAGAGGUGAAAUUCGUAGAUAUUGGGAAGAACACCAGUGGCGAAGGCGGCUAACUGGUCCGGUACUGACACUGAGGUGCGAAAGCGUGGGGAUCAAA